AAGCACUUUAGAGGUCUCCGUCAUCAUGAAACCAUCAGAUAAGGUAAGGUGUUGCUGCUCUGAAUGGUGUUGGUGUCUUGGUGGUCUCUACAGCAAACAAUACGGUGCAGGGCUGGUUGAUAUGCGAGGAUCCACAGCGUUCCUGAUGGGUCUCGGUUUCUGCUUAGCUUUCCACUCACUCUGCUGCAGAGAUAUAAAUAUGACAACAAACCUCCACACAUCUGAAGGAGUAAAUGUUUCUCUUUUCUGUAACACGUCUGGUGAUCUUACUCUCAUCAGGUGGAAAAAGGAGGACACCCUGAUUUUUGCCUAUAGUCCAUUGAUAAAUACAACAAAGGAGAACUUCACCUCAGCCAGGAUGAGUGUUGACCCUGCUACUCCGAGAACUCUUUAUAUAUCUCACGUACAUGCGUAUGAUAAGGGAAUAUACAUCUGUGAGGCAAUAACUCUUAAACACAAACUAACACAAACAUGGAACCUGACCAGCUACACAGAUGACAGCCUCUCACCAUUUCAACAGAUCAUCAUGUCUGCUGCCAUAUCAGGGAUAAUUAAAAUUAUUGUAUGUGCGAUAAUAUGUAUUUAUAGUAGCAAGAGCAGCUGAGGGACACGAAACCGAAGAUCCAGACAGGACAUCAGGGUUUUCCACAACCAUUGAUUUUGUGGGCCUUAUAGUCUGAGGAGUUCCUUUUUUUACAAGCCAAUCUCUUUUAAUUAAAAGAACUUCUACUUA